rnacentral:rRNA from 1 species
UGGGGAAUUUUGGACAAUGGGCGAAAGCCUGAUCCAGCAAUGCCGCGUGUGUGAAGAAGGCCUUCGGGUUGUAAAGCACUUUUGUCCGGAAAGAAAUCCUUGGCUCUAAUACAGUCGGGGGAUGACGGUACCGGAAGAAUAAGCACCGGCUAACUACGUGCCAGCAGCCGCGGUAAUACGUAGGGUGCAAGCGUUAAUCGGAAUUACUGGGCGUAAAGCGUGCGCAGGCGGUUUGCUAAGACCGAUGUGAAAUCCCCGGGCUCAACCUGGGAACUGCAUUGGUGACUGGCAGGCUAGAGUAUGGCAGAGGGGGGUAGAAUUCCACGUGUAGCAGUGAAAUGCGUAGAGAUGUGGAGGAAUACCGAUGGCGAAGGCAGCCCCCUGGGCCAAAUACUGACGCUCAUGCACGAAAGCGUGGGGAGCAAAACAGGAUUAGAUACCCUGGUAGUCCACGCCCUAAACGAUGUCAACUAGUUGUUGGGGAUUCAUUUCCUUAGUAACGUAGCUAACGCGUGAAGUUGACCGCCUGGGGAGUACGGUCGCAAGAUUAAAACUUAAAUGAAUUGAC